rnacentral:pre_miRNA from 1 species
GGCCUCCCUCUGUGGGGCUAUCGAUCACGGGGCUCUGUGAUCGAUCACCCAGCAGAGAGAGGCC